GUCCCGGGACAGACGGGGGUUGAUUGAGAGGAACGAUACUGACAUCGCACAGUGAGCACUUGUCAGGAGCCAUGUGCUUUGGAGGCCCUCAGAGAUGAAACCACACAUUGGAGCUGUAGCAGGGGGUAGAAGAAGAAGAAGGAGGCUCCAGAAAAAGCUCGGCCGGCGCUCCCAGCCAAAUCACCAGCCAGAAACCAAACUGGAUGUGGUGAAACUGUCAAAUUACUUAAGGAAACUGCAGCAAAACCUCAGGAGACGAAAAACAGAGAGGGAGAGAAGAGUUUUUUUCAUUGUGUUGCAAAACAAGCAAAGCAAAAUGGUAUUUGUAAAAGAAUUUAUGAUUUUAAAAAGUCAUCGGGGAGGCCUGGCUGUUAGGGAGCAUAUUUGUCAAUAUCUUACAGUAUUCAUUUUCCGCGACCUUUCAAAUGUACUUUUAUUAGACUUAGGAUAAGAAUAGCUUUCUUCAUCCAGGUUGCUUUGUAAAAUAUUUGUAGUUUAGUUAAAAAUGUAUUCAUAAACUGCAUUGUUUGAUGGAAAUGCAGCUGGGGACCUUUGCUGCAUGUCAUUCUAUCCUUACAUGUCAAUUCUGCGAUAAAGGAAUAAAAGUCGAGAAAUGUG